UACGGAGGGGGCUAGCGUUGUUCGGAAUCACUGGGCGUAAAGCGCGCGUAGGCGGCUUGAAAAGUUGGAUGUGAAAUCCCGGGGCUCAACCCCGGAACUGCAUUCAAAACUUUCUGGCUAGAGACUUAGAGAGGUGGGCGGAAUUCCGAGUGUAGAGGUGAAAUUCGUAGAUAUUCGGAAGAACACCGGUUGCGAAGGCGGCUCACUGGCUAAGUUCUGACGCUGAGGUGCGAAAGCGUGGGGAGCAAAC
rnacentral:rRNA from 1 species